rnacentral:tRNA from 1 species
GCUCGGAUGGUGGAAUAGGUAGACACGCCGGACUUAAAAUCCUGUGGCCAGCAAUGGCCGUGCGGGUUCGAUUCCCGCUCCGAGUACCA